GUUUUAACUUGCUAGCAAGGGGAGCCUGGUCUGCAGCACCUCUGCCCUCGACCUCCGUCAACUGCAAAGAACCAGCCUCCCCUGCAGCCUUUUAUUCUGUCACACACAGUUUCACAAACACCCAUUGUAAAGCCCCCCUGCGGGGUGUCAUAAUACUGAGGCGCUGUGUGUGUAUGCAUGUGCGAGCACGUGUGUGUGUGUGUGUGUGUGUGUCUGUAUGUGUGUGUGUGUGUGUGUGUCUGUACAUGGGUGAGUGUGUGUGUGGAUGUUGGUGUGUUUGUGUGACUUCAUGAUCACAAAGGGUCAUCUCCCCUCACCCUGUAUAUGGCUUAACCCCACUAACGGUCCACUAUACACAAGCACAGGUGAGGCCAUAAAUGCCAAGAAGUAAACAUCCUCACUAAAUAAGGACACAGAACCUUCACUUAGGAUUUGCCUGCAGUUAAACACUAUAACUAAUUACCUCCCCCAGCAUCCUAUAUGUGUAGGGGAGGAACAGAAGAAUCUAAACAUGCAGUUUAAGGCAAGGUUUACAAAUUUAAGUACAAUAACGGCAACAUUUCACAAUUCACUCUAACAGUUAUGACCAUAUGACCUUUAACUAUACCAAUGGUUAAAGGAGUGAUGACGGUAUUUUCCUCUGUGGGACCUUGGUGCUAAUGGUUAACAGAUCAUCUAUCUGUGUUGUCUAGUUGUCAAGUUGUCAAGAAAAUGUUAGAAAAUUAUGUUUUCUUGUUUUGUUUUUUUUCUUCAGGGGCAGAGGGGACUGGAGAGAAUGGCACUCUUCAGUCUUCAGUAUCCAGAGGUGAGGUCAUCAUACAAGUGAAUACUGAAAAUCGGGAUGUUGAGCACCCAGCCCACCAAGAUCAAGUGAAGCUGCAAGAUCAAGAGAUGAUAGACAGAGACCCAUCGACCAAAGGAGAAGCCAUGAGGAAAGGCCUCCCAACUGGAAGCUGGAUGAGCAGCACAAAGCAGUCGUGGCUAUUGGUUGAGGCCAGGGGCAAGAUGAAGGCUGCAGUCAGAGUUCGGGGUGGGAUGGAGGCUGCAGUCAGGGCCGGGGCGAGAUAGAGGCUGCAAUCAUGGGUGGGGGCAACAUGGAGGCUGUGGCCAUGGGCGAGAAUCAGGCUGCAGUCGUGGGUGGGGGCGAGAUGGAGGUUGCAGUCACGGGUGGGGGCGAGAUUAAGGCUGCAGUUGCAGCCUCGAAUGUAAUCAGAGCUGUGAAGGAGGCUCUCGGUUUAAUCUGAACACAGACUAAAACUUAUCCAGACUGGUCCCAGCCCACCUGCAGAUUGAAGUUAAUAAGCCAACCUCCAGUGGGAGUAGUUCAGCCUCCAGCCAAACACCAGCUCUUCUUCUUCUUACUCACCCAUCACCGAUCGCUUCAACCAACACUGAAAAUAAAAUAAGAUUUAUUGUUGAAUUUUUUUCAGCCCCUCUCAAUAUUAUUAUGUUUACCAAGCC
ensembl:lncRNA